GACGAACGCUUGCGGCGUGCUUAACACAUGCAAGUCGAACGGAAAGGCCCUGCUUUUGUGGGGUGCUCGAGUGGCGAACGGGUGAGUAACACGUGAGUAACCUGCCCUUGACUUUGGGAUAACUUCAGGAAACUGGGGCUAAUACCGGAUAGGAGCUCCUGCUGCAUGGUGGGGGUUGGAAAGUUUCGGCGGUUGGGGAUGGACUCGCGGCUUAUCAGCUUGUUGGUGGGGUAGUGGCUUACCAAGGCUUUGACGGGUAGCCGGCCUGAGAGGGUGACCGGCCACAUUGGGACUGAGAUACGGCCCAGACUCCUACGGGAGGCAGCAGUGGGGAAUAUUGCACAAUGGGCGGAAGCCUGAUGCAGCAACGCCGCGUGCGGGAUGACGGCCUUCGGGUUGUAAACCGCUUUCGCCUGUGACGAAGCGUGAGUGACGGUAAUGGGUAAAGAAGCACCGGCUAACUACGUGCCAGCAGCCGCGGUGAUACGUAGGGUGCGAGCGUUGUCCGGAUUUAUUGGGCGUAAAGGGCUCGUAGGUGGUUGAUCGCGUCGGAAGUGUAAUCUUGGGGCUUAACCCUGAGCGUGCUUUCGAUACGGGUUGACUUGAGGAAGGUAGGGGAGAAUGGAAUUCCUGGUGGAGCGGUGGAAUGCGCAGAUAUCAGGAGGAACACCAGUGGCGAAGGCGGUUCUCUGGGCCUUUCCUGACGCUGAGGAGCGAAAGCGUGGGGAGCGAACAGGCUUAGAUACCCUGGUAGUCCACGCUGUAAACGGUGGGUACUAGGUGUGGGGUCCAUUCCACGGGUUCCGUGCCGUAGCUAACGCUUUAAGUACCCCGCCUGGGGAGUACGGCCGCAAGGCUAAAACUCAAAGGAAUUGACGGGGCCCCGCACAAGCGGCGGAGCAUGCGGAUUAAUUCGAUGCAACGCGUAGAACCUUACCUGGGUUUGACAUGGAUCGGGAGUGCUCAGAGAUGGGUGUGCCUCUUUUGGGGUCGGUUCACAGGUGGUGCAUGCCUGUCGUCAGCUCGUGUCGUGAGAUGUUGGGUUAAGUCCCGCAACGAGCGCAACCCUUGUUCACUGUUGCCAGCACGUUAUGGUGGGGACUCAGUGGAGACCGCCGGGGUCAACUCGGAGGAAGGUGGGGAUGACGUCAAGUCCUCAUGCCCCUUAUGUCCAGGGCUUCACGCAUGCUACAAUGGCUGGUACAGAGAGUGGCGAGCCUGCGAGGGUGAGCGAAUCUCGGAAAGCCGGUCUCAGUUCGGAUUGGGGUCUGCAACUCGACCUCAUGAAGUCGGAGUCGCUAGUAAUCGCAGAUCAGCAACGCUGCGGUGAAUACGUUCCCGGG
rnacentral:rRNA from 1 species